rnacentral:rRNA from 1 species
UACGAAGGGUGCAAGCGUUGUCCGGAAUUAUUGGGCGUAAAGAGCUCGUAGGCGGUUUGUCGCGUCUGCUGUGAAAACUCGGGGCUUAACUCCGGGCCUGCAGUGGGUACGGGCAGACUAGAGUGCGGUAGGGGAGACUGGAAUUCCUGGUGUAGCGGUGAAAUGCGCAGAUAUCAGGAGGAACACCGGUGGCGAAGGCGGGUCUCUGGGCCGUAACUGACGCUGAGGAGCGAAAGCGUGGGGAGCGAACAGG